GACCAAGGAGUCUAACAUGUGCGCUAGUCGCUGGGAGCACUAGCUAAACCCGGAGGCGCAGUGAAAGCGGGGUGUGGUCCUUCGUGGGCCGCCGUUGGGAGGAUGUCGCUCGGAAACCCCGUGCGACCGCACUCCCGGGGCGCCUCGGCUUCGGCCGCAGGCGCACCCUGAGCGCACACGUUGGGACCCGAAAGAUGGUGAACUAUGCCUGGUCAGGACGAAGUCAGGGGAAACCCUGAUGGAGGUCCGCAGCGAUUCUGACGUGCAAAUCGAUCGUCAGAGCUGGGUAUAGGGGCGAAAGACUAAUCGAACCAUCUA
rnacentral:rRNA from 1 species